CCCAGGCAUGCCUCGUGCAGGAUUCAUCUUAAAUGUCAUCUCCACCAGAUCACCUGCUCCAAGUCAUGUGGCAAAGUGGAUGAAAUCAUAAGCCAUUCACCUUCCUCUCUGUGACCUCAGCUCAGGGAUGCCUCAUCUGUUGGCAGCUGAGGUCAGCCCUGCUGGCCUGUUUUUCUCAAAGCAGACCUUCAGUGCCAGAGUCUUGAGUAUAGUAGUAUCAUUGCAUCAGAGGAAGAGAAUGACUUAGUCCUCAGAGUCAUCACCUGUUUGGCCUCUGAUGCAGUCAACAUUCUUCUCUCGGAUCCUUGAUGAAAUGAUCCAAAGCCAUUCCCACUAUUUUGAAAACUAAAGCCAUCAAAAUGAUACUAUACUGUGCAAAGGAGGAAAACACAACCUUGGAUAUAUAUGAAGUUCAUUUUUAUCUAAGAGAUAUGUCCUGGUUGAUGAGAAAGUUUAUGGUCACCUAAUUAGUGUCUCAUGCAAUUUCUGGGGAGCUGGAGAAAGAUAUUUGAGACUACUCUUCUAUGAACAAUACCCUAAAUCACCCUGAAAACUGGCCUGGUGAUAAUGCUGCUGCUUUGGUUCUGUCAACACAAAGCUUCAAAGAACAGGCUUUCUACUUCAUUGCAAUAGGAAUGAAGAUAGCUUCUCAACCAGGGACUGUUUUGUCAUGCUUUUCAAUUCAGAAUCAGGCUCCAGUGAGUGCAUCUUCCUCCCCAGC